UGUUUCGGCAAGGGGGUCAUCCCGACUUACCAACCCGAUGCAAACUGCGAAUACCGGAGAAUGUUAUCACGGGAGACACACGGCGGGUGCUAACGUCCGUCGUGAAGAGGGAAACAACCCAGACCGCCAGCUAAGGUCCCAAAGUCAUGGUUAAGUGGGAAACGAUGUGGGAAGGCCCAGACAGCCAGGAUGUUGGCUUAGAAGCAGCCAUCAUUUAAAGAAAGCGUAAUAGCUCACUGGUCGAGUCGGCCUGCGCGGAAGAUGUAACGGGGCUAAACCAUGCACCGAAGCUGCGGCAGCGACACUAUGUGUUGUUGGGUAGGGGAGCGUUCUGUAAGCCUGUGAAGGUGUGCUGUGAGGCAUGCUGGAGGUAUCAGAAGUGCGAAUGCUGACAUAAGUAACGAUAAAGCGGGUGAAAAGCCCGCUCGCCGGAAGACCAAGGGUUCCUGUCCAACGUUAAUCGGGGCAGGGUGAGUCGACCCCUAAGGCGAGGCCGAAAGGCGUAGUCGAUGGGAAACAGGUUAAUAUUCCUGUACUUGGUGUUACUGCGAAGGGGGGACGGAGAAGGCUAUGUUGGCCGGGCGACGGUUGUCCCGGUUUAAGCGUGUAGGCUGGUUUUCCAGGCAAAUCCGGAAAAUCAAGGCUGAGGCGUGAUGACGAGGCACUACGGUGCUGAAGCAACAAAUGCCCUGCUUCCAGGAAAAGCCUCUAAGCAUCAGGUAACAUCAAAUCGUACCCCAAACCGACACAGGUGGUCAGGUAGAGAAUACCAAGGCGCUUGAGAGAACUCGGGUGAAGGAACUAGGCAAAAUGGUGCCGUAACUUCGGGAGAAGGCACGCUGAUAUGUAGGUGAAGUCCCUCGCGGAUGGAGCUGAAAUCAGUCGAAGAUACCAGCUGGCUGCAACUGUUUAUUAAAAACACAGCACUGUGCAAACACGAAAGUGGACGUAUACGGUGUGACGCCUGCCCGGUGCCGGAAGGUUAAUUGAUGGGGUUAGCGCAAGCGAAGCUCUUGAUCGAAGCCCCGGUAAACGGCGGCCGUAACUAUAACGGUCCUAAGGUAGCGAAAUUCCUUGUCGGGUAAGUUCCGACCUGCACGAAUGGCGUAAUGAUGGCCAGGCUGUCUCCACCCGAGACUCAGUGAAAUUGAACUCGCUGUGAAGAUGCAGUGUACCCGCGGCAAGACGGAAAGACCCCGUGAACCUUUACUAUAGCUUGACACUGAACAUUGAGCCUUGAUG
rnacentral:rRNA from 1 species